GUGGCCCGUCCAUCAGCAGAAUCACUAGAAUCCCGGGAAUGGGCCCGUGGAGGUAUUCCUAUGAAGCAAAACAGAACUAACGUUACUGCCCAAGGCUUUACACGUACCCAUGGGAGCACAUCAUCUUUCAGCAAGAGUCCUCCGACACCAUACUGAAGAAGGCGACAGGCAGCUGAGAAAGAAGGAUCCUAAUUAACCCAUGAGAAAAUGAUGCUGUUGAGAAGUAUGUUCAUUACAGUUCAGCUGGAUUCAAGGGGAUGUGAAAUCACCCGUCCCUGAUUAAGAGGUUCAGGGCCUCUCUCCUUAGACCAGUACUAUGCCACUGUGCAUCUGAAAUUUUCUCUUUGCAAAGGCACUUUGGCCAAGGGAUUUGGGUCUACUCCAAGCCUGGUUAAUGUGGAAUCCAAUAGAAGACCAUGAGCCCAUGGCCUUCGGAGUCUUGGAGACAGAGAGAUGCUGUUAGCAGUCAAACGUGGACAGAAAGGUGAGUGCUCCUUAAACUAACACUUGCUGGUAAACCCAAC